rnacentral:rRNA from 1 species
UCGCAGAUCAGAAUGCUGCGGUGAAUGCGUUCCCGGGUCUUGUACACACCGCCCGUCACACCACGGGAGUUGGAGACGCCCGAAGCCGAUUAUCUAACCUUUUGGAAGAAGUCGUCGAAGGGGGAAUCAAUAACUGGGGUGAAGUCGUAACAAGGUAGCCGUAUCGGAAGGUGCGGCUGGAUCACCUCCUUUCUAAGGA